rnacentral:rRNA from 1 species
GAUGAACGCUGGCGGCGUGCCUAAUACAUGCAAGUCGAGCGAACAGACGAGGAGCUUGCUCCUCUGACGUUAGCGGCGGACGGGUGAGUAACACGUGGAUAACCUACCUAUAAGACUGGGAUAACUUCGGGAAACCGGAGCUAAUACCGGAUAAUAUAUUGAACCGCAUGGUUCAAUAGUGAAAGACGGUUUUGCUGUCACUUAUAGAUGGAUCCGCGCCGCAUUAGCUAGUUGGUAAGGUAACGGCUUACCAAGGCAACGAUGCGUAGCCGACCUGAGAGGGUGAUCGGCCACACUGGAACUGGGACACGGUCCAGACUCCUACGGGAGGCAGCGGUAGGGAGUCUUCCGCAAUGGGCGAAAGCUUGACGGAGCAACGCCGCGUGAGUGAUGAAGGUCUUCGGAUCGUAAAACUCUGUUAUUAGGGAAGAACAAAUGUGUAAGUAACUAUGCACGUCUUGACGGUACCUAAUCAGAAAGCCACGGCUAACUACGUG